rnacentral:rRNA from 1 species
GAUGAACGCUGGCGGCGUGCCUAAUACAUGCAAGUCGAGCGAACAGACGAGGAGCUUGCUCCUCUGACGUUAGCGGCGGACGGGUGAGUAACACGUGGAUAACCUACCUAUAAGACUGGGAUAACUUCGGGAAACCGGAGCUAAUACCGGAUAAUAUAUUGAACCGCAUGGUUCAAUAGUGAAAGACGGUUUUGCUGUCACUUAUAGAUGGAUCCGCGCCGCAUUAGCUAGUUAGUAAGGUAACGGCUUACCAAGGCGACGAUGCGUAGCCGACCUGAGAGGGUGAUCGGCCACACUGGAACUGAGACACGGUCCAGACUCCUACGGGAGGCAGCAGUAGGGAAUCUUCCGCAAUGGGCGAAAGCCUGACGGAGCAACGCCGCGUGAGUGAUGAAGGUCUUCGGAUCGUAAAACUCUGUUAUUAGGGAAGAACAAAUGUGUAAGUAACUAUGCACGUCUUGACGGUACCUAAUCAGAAAGCCACGGCUAACUACGU